rnacentral:rRNA from 1 species
UCGACCUUAGUUGCCAGCAUUCAGUUGGGCACUCUAAGGUGACUGCCGGCUAAAAGUCGGAGGAAGGUGGGGAUGACGUCAAAUCAUCAUGCCCCUUAUGACCUGGGCUACACACGUGCUACAAUGGGCGGUACAAAGGGUCGCGAACCCGCGAGGGGGAGCCAAUCCCAAAAAGCCGCUCUCAGUUCGGAUUGCAGGCUGCAACUCGCCUGCAUGAAGCCGGAAUCGCUAGUAAUCGCGGAUCAGCAUGCCGCGGUGAAUACGUUCCCGGGCCUU